AGCAGAGUCCAUAUCUUGCAAGUCUUACGUUAUCCUUUAAGCCUCCUUCAGCUAACACAACAACAUUUUUUUUUUUUACACUUAAUGACGCCUAAUUUCAUUUCUUAUCGGGUCCUUUGGGGGGAUUAUUCAUUCAUAUAAAACAAUCUGCAGCUGGUGCCAUCCUAAAGUCUCCCUCCUAUGAGUGAAGUCAUCUAUUAUUGAGCGAUAGGCCGUGCGUGGAAAUGUGUGUAAGACGGUGGAUUUGAAGUAGGAAUUGGUUGCAAUCGAUCAAGGGUGAAGAUUAUUGCUGAUGGUAACAAAAGAAGCAGCUAUGUCUUUCUCGCAAUUUGGAUAUCCUUACAAUGCAACUUCACAGUUUUUCGUGUCGGCAAACCCCAGUACGACUUGCUGCGAUUCGAUUUCCAGGUCGGUCUCUGACGGGACAGCCGGCUCCCAGACUGCCGCUGCUGCCGCCGCCUCCUUCUGCUGCCCGUCCUACGAGAACCGGAUCCUGGCGAGCAGCCGGACGGAGCUGAACGCAGCGCUGGGGAUGUACAGCUCACCAUACGCCGCAGCGGCUGCAGCCAGCCAGAACUACGCCAACUACUUCCCUUACAGCACCGACCCAUCCGCUAUCUACUCCACUCUGAAUCCACAGUAUGACAUCAAGGACAGCACAGGCACUUUACACUCUGGCAUCUCUCAAACUGCUGCUUACUAUCCUUACGACCACUCGCUGGGACAGUAUCAGUACGACAGAUAUGGGGCUGUGGACUUUAAUGGCACAGCCAGAAGAAAGAACGCAACUCGUGAAACCACCAGCACCCUCAAAACAUGGUUGUACGAGCACCGCAAGAACCCUUACCCCACUAAAGGAGAGAAGAUCAUGCUGGCCAUCAUCACAAAAAUGACCCUCACACAAGUGUCCACCUGGUUCGCCAACGCCAGGAGGAGGCUAAAGAAGGAGAACAAGAUGACCUGGUCACCAAAGAAUAAGGCCAACGAUGACAGGAAGGAUGACUUUAACAAGAGCGACCAAGACUGUGUCACCAAAGACUCUAGUGAUUGCAAGGACGAGAAGGAUCUGCGUCUGAGCGACCUGGAGGACAUGGACGAUGAUGACUGUGAAAAGCUGGACAGCGACUGUGAAAAGGCGGCUGCAGACGAACAGGACCUCCAGAGGGUCAUGGCGCUAUCCGGACCCCCUCAAAAGAGAGACUGCAGCUCCGAGCUCCACCUGAGUUUAACCAACAGCUUCCACGCGUUCCCCUGCGCCAUCAAAGGUGUCACCGCCCUCCCCCCUCUUCCGUCUGACUUCCUGGAUCCUGUUGUGUCCAAGGCACCUUCCUCAACUGGGGGUACGGUUUCCCUGUCUCACUUCGAAGCGUCGGAUAAGCCUCGGAUUUGGUCUCUGGCUCGUACGGCGGCUUCGGGGGUCAUUCUGAGCCCCCAGCAGCACGGCUCGGAGCUGAGGACAGGCAACACAACCGGGGACUGCCAGCUCCAGAGCCCCAGGCUUACCAGGACUCUAACUGGACAGUGUGGGGGAAUGAGAGGCCUCCAUGAACCUGGCAGUGUCACUACUACUGAGAGCCCCUUCGCUGAGGGCUUAUCCUUGCACUCUAAAGUCUAUGGCACCGGCAGCUACAGUCAUAAGGACCUCCAACUGCACUGUUCAUCCUAUUCUGCACUCCCAGACACAUGCCAGUACUCCACUAUUGAAGGGUUCUCUGGUGGCAAAGCAGAGACACAGUCGUCUGACCUCAGCGAAGCCUGCGGGACCGUGCAGGAUGACAAGAUCACUGCGUUCAGACCAGUGAUGAAGAGGUGAAGCAGGUGAGAGUCUGCACUGAACUGGAAGAAACACACAAACAUGGGGCACAGCACAACUGCAUUACUCACUGAUUCCUGGAUACUGUACCACAAUAAUAAUGGGACAUUAAUGAAUAUGCACUAAAGGAGACACUGGCCGAGUGGCGGCCUCAAUACGACACAUGGGAGCUACCUGGGCUGCUGCAGUGAGAAGCAGUCAAACUGUGGACGUGGCUAUCAUUUUGCACAACUUUGUUUUUAUCGUGUCAAAGACUUUAUGCAAAAAAAUCUAGAUGCAAAGGUAUGGGAAUGGCCGAAUACAAAAAGAAACGGCCGGAAUUUGUGUAUGGCAAUCGUGUAGUGUAGCAAACUAUUUAUUUAUCUGUGUAUUUAUUAUUUUGUAAUGUUGUCUGUUUGUUAUAUGACGUGUUUAUCGGUUGGAUUUGUCCCUCUUUGAGUGUUUCGUUACAUGUUGCGUUUUACUGUGGCUUCGUGUCAUUUUGCCUGUUGUAAAAGAGACGGAUUUAGAGAGAUGACCAUAUAAGGACCGGAUCCCCUGUGUUGCGCGUGGACCUGGAGGAUUUUUGUCAUUGUGUUAAAAAAUGUGAGCUUCUUCUGUGUUUGCCUGAUCAUGGCAUUUUUUUUCUAAGAAUACAUUUUUUU